rfam:Spinacia oleracea cultivar SynViroflay scaffold67676.con0001.1, whole genome shotgun sequence.
AGCCUGUUAGCUCAAUAUGGUAGAGCAUUGUGUGAAAUACACAAAGACGUAGGUUCAACUCCUACAUAGGCUA